rnacentral:sRNA from 1 species
UGGACUCUCUGAUGGUCUAGCAGUUCCAUU